rnacentral:rRNA from 1 species
GGUGAACGCUGGCGGCGUGCUUAACACAUGCAAGUCGAACGAGAACGGAUUAUAGCUUGCUAUAAUUGUCAGCUAAGUGGCGCACGGGUGAGUAAUGUAUAGGUAAUAUGCCUCUUACUAAGGGAUAACAAAUGGAAACGUUUGCUAAUACCUUAUACUCCUUAUUAACAUAAGUUAAUAAGGGAAAGAUUUAUUGGUAAGAGAUUAGCCUGUAUUGUAUCAGUUAGUUGGUGGGGUAAUGGCUUACCAAGACUAUGACACAUAACUGGUUUGAGAGGAUGAUCAGUCACACUGGAAGUGAGACACGGUCCAGACUCCUACGGGAGGCAGCAGUGGGGAAUAUUGUACAAUGGACGAAAGUCUGAUGCAGCAACGCCGCGUGGAGGAUGACACAUUUCGGUGCGUAAACUCCUUUUAUAUGAGAAGAUAAUGACGGUAUUAUAUGAAUAAGCACCGGCUAACUCCGUGCCAGCAGCCGCAGUAA